CCAAGGGGAAAGAUGUCCGAGUAACAAUGAUUUUGGAAUGUACUAGUUGUGUCCGAAACAGUGUUGAUAAGGUAUCAAGAGGUAUUUCCAGAUAUAUUACUCAAAAGAACCGGCACAAUACGCCUAAUCGAUUAGAAUUGAAAAAAUUUUGUCCCUAUUGUUACAAACAUACGAUUCAUUGGGAGAUAAAGAAAUAGAGCGAACCAAGCACCUGUGUCUUACCCUUUCAAGGAAGGGGAAAAAUGACAUUAUAUAUAUAACAUAUUUAAAUAGAAAAUAAACAAAUCUUAUUUUUUAAAAAUCCUAUUUUGGGUGUAUUCAAACUGAAUUAGAAUUAAGAAAUAGGAUUUUAGGGAUAAAGAAUAAAUUAAACAAACAAACCAUGGAUAAAUCCAAGCGACCUUUUCUUAAAUUCAAGCGAUCUUUUCGUAGGCGUUUGCCCCCGAUUCAAUCGGGGGAUCGAAUUGAUUAUAGAAACAUGAGUUUAAUUAGUCGAUUUAUUAGUGAACAAGGAAAAAUAUUAUCAAGACGAGUGAAUAGAUUGACCUUGAAA
rnacentral:lncRNA from 1 species